rnacentral:tRNA from 1 species
GGGGUUGUAGCUCAGUUGUAGAGCGCUUGCCUCACAUGUGUGAGGCCCUGGGUUCAAUCCCCAGCACCA